AGCGUGCGCCGCCGCGCCGCCCGUGUGCCGCCCCGCGCCGCCGCCGCCGCCGCCGCCGCCCGCGCACUGCGGCAGUGUCAGUUCAAGUCAGUUGCGGGUGGGAAGUGACCUCAGUUAGUUGGAUGUUGUUGUUUGUUUUGGACGCGGUAAGCCUACAUUGUUAAUAAUAUUACAUAUAUUCACACGAGAAUACUGUGAGACGACGAAUUAAUAUUGAUUAUGCAUACAUUUUCCAGUACACAUAUCACAAUCGCCCGUUAUCAUAAAAAACGUAAAAUAUUCAAACAUCAGAAAUUGUGACAUAAAAAUAAAAAUCGCGAAAUUAAACCGUAAAAGUAAUUUCGAUACCCGCCUACACAGCACAAGUAGCAGACCCGAUAAUUAUAACAACAUUAACGAACUUUUUUCUUUGCAAUUGAUUUAAAACCAAUUGAAAUGUAUUUGUAUUCAUUUCCCGUAUUUUUGGUCGAGCACUUUGUCUAUAACUUCGACAAACUUGAGACCUAUUUUCAUUUUUACAGAUUUCUUUUUAAUUUUCUAAAUAGAUAGACAGAAUUUAAAAUUAAACUAAGAUUUGAACAGUUUACGCACCUAAUACCUAACAUGUUUGGCACCACUUCUCAAGUGAUAAUAAUUGUUAAUUGUAUUGUGAUAUGCAAAAUUAUCAACCAGUGUUCAUAAUGAGGAGGAAAAAGCACUAAUUUAGUUCAUUAAACUCUUCACGCAGUCCACAUGACGUGCAUGACGCGCGACUCCGCGAAAUGUCUCCGCACAUACAGAACAAACUGACUGUAUAUACUGACGUGUACACAACCGACACUCGCACGAGGAGCCGAGGAGCCCGGCCGCACUCGUUCGAUUCCCGUCACAGAGCCCAUCGUUUGCUCUGCCCGCAUCUCAGUUUGAACGUGGUCCGGCGCGGUGGCCGCUCUCAAUGAAGCCGCAUUCUCCCGACUCUGACAACUGUGACGUCACGUUUUUAUUUCCAUCAUGAAUCACCAGCACUGGUGACGCCCUCUCCACGACAUCCAGACAAGACAAUAUGGAGCGAUUCAUUGCUUAAUUAUUGCUCGUUGUUUAAUAUCAUUUACUUUGUCGGUUUUAUUUAUUUAUUUAUAACUUUAUAUACUUGACAGUAUAAAGGCGGACUUAAUGUCAUAGGCAUUCUCUGACAAUGUACAGGUUUUAAUGUUUUGUAUUCAGUAAACGAUAAACGACGACGGCUCCGUAUAUCUUCUUACUUUGUGUAGUUCGUCUACUUAGUUCUCGUUCUAAUAGCCCACUCAAAUCGAGCUAAAUAAUGAACUAUAUUAUUGACGAUUGUGGGUACGAAAAUUCCGCAGUCGGCACUCCUAUAGUGAGUGAUAUAAUUGCAGACAAUCAAUUGAAUGUUAUACCAAACGACAAGGAGUCAUUGUCUGAUCUAAAUGUAAAGAAGAGUCAUUGUGAAACUGUCAAUGAACAAAUAAAAUGUACGCUAGUGUAUGUACGGAGGGCGUCGCAGAUAAAGCGGGGUGGCAACUCGACGCACGAUAUCGAAGUUCAAAAGUUAAAGAUGAGUAUUAUAAAGAGCGACCGAUAACAGACCGGCUGCCUCGCGCGCUGCUCGCUGCGGCCUCGCGGACACGCCGCGGACCACCACCACCACCACCGGGCCGCCUCCUCAUGCGCACGCGGCACAUGUUCAUCAGCCGUAAUUGAUUUAAUUGAUGAUUCUUAUUUGCCCCACUGGUAUCAAAACGAAUGAAAUAAUUGUACCGACAUAACUACGUAAUAAUGAAUGUCGUGGAAAAAUACAGUUAAAUAUUCGAUUAUAAAUUAUUAAUGUCAGACUGUUGAAUAACUGCUUCUAUUUUUAGACCACUCUAAGUAAGUUAAGAAGCUGUUACCGCUUUGUCGCUGUGCUAUGAACAGUACGCUUUUAUAUAACUCAUUCUAUUAGUUAUUAGAGUUAACGAGUUGACUCCUUUGACGAGAGCUAAUCACAAUAAUAGAUCAUAGCGAUUUGUAGUUGUAUGCAACAACAAUUUUUUGUAUUAAAAGGAUAACGACAAGAAAAAGUGUUAAAUAGGUAUAAAAGAGGCUCUAAGAUCGACUUGGAGCCUCUCAGACUCUCAGUGCAGAGAGGCGCGGGCGCGGCGGCAGGAGAUGAGCGGUCAUUCCUCCGCCGGCCACAUGUGCCCCGCCCGCCACGUGCGCCGCCCGGGAUCAACCCUCCCCCACAUAUUGUAAACUGGCGUAACAUCUGUCCACGGAUUACAAUUGCCUUCUGUAUUAAAUAGGUCACUUUCUGUUUCAUCUUAACAAUAUGAAAGUAUUGGUGUCGGUUGAGUUAAAUAUUCAAGAACCUUACAAUUUAUUUUAUUAGUGACGUGUAGUAUGUAUGCAUUGAUUGCAUUACAAAACACAAGUAACAAAACUCGCCGAGAUGAAGUCAGGGCAGCGAUUACAUCAACACGAGUGUGUGAAUUGAUCGAUUAAAUCAGGAACUGGCUAAUUAUCGAGCGACUGGGAUUACAUCUCGUUGACUCACGACGUGACUGUACUACACACACGAGGCGUUCGUCGCCGAGUUCAGAUCAAACUUAUAAAUUGCCAUACGGAUCCGAUCGUAGUUCGGUGCUCAACAGACAUAACAAUUGAAAAGACACUGACGUAAUAGAAAUAAACGUGUGAGUUAGAGUGUGAGUUAGAGUGUGCGUGUGCGUGUGCGUGAUGCCGAGCGCGGAUGCUGACAAUUGAACAAUUAUCCGUUCGACCGCCACACGCACAUACCUGGCGCACUGGCCGGUAUUGCCGACGUCAAAAUGCGGGGGAACAUAUUCGCAUUUUUCAAAAAAAUAUGCUUCACUAUUCAGAACAGUGAAAAAGCUGAAUUCGGAUAAGAUUAUCGGUGUAUUUUCUAGAAAAAAUACAUAAAACGCCCCGUUUCCUUAGAAUCCUAGGUCACGGAGUCGGCCCUAAGCAGUUGCCCCGACGAGUGACGCGAAACUAAGGACUCGUGCAAGGAGACGCAAGGAUAGAUCCGCUGGUCAUUACAAUCGUUUUCUCAGAACCAGUGCCCUGCUCAUCUUAUGUUCUGAUGAUCCUCUUUUAAAUAUAACCCGAUUGUUUUUUAUUUUGAUCUAAGUUCUAAGUGUGAAUAUUCUGCGUAGUGGAAGUAUCUAUUUCUUUUCCUUGUUUAUUCGCUAAUAGCGUAAAGGGCCAUUGCAACUACACCCGGAGGGGUAGGUGAGCUCACCGGCUCAACCUAAAAGAAUUUGCUAACACUGGCCAUAGCAGGAGCCGUGCUUCGCAGAAUCUACCACCGGAUCGAAAUCGCGACCCAUUGAGAAGAUCCGGCGAGAAACUCAGUGGGUUGUGUCUGAGGGUUAAUUUCUUCGCCGAACCCUUCGUCACAAGCGACGGGUUCGACGAGAACGGUGACCGGCCAAAGGCCUGGGGGACCUAUAUUUAUUAAUAAGUCGAUUAGCAUCGAUGUGGUAGUGAUGACACAAGGCAGUUUGUCUACCGCUACGCCGACAUUUCUCCUACACUGCAUUUCUUGCGUACCGAUAUCUUAUCUAAAACAUUUACAAAUAAUAUGUAUAAACUAUAAACUAACAUUAUACAUAUAAAUAGUAAUUUAAAAUUAUGAAUAUGAAAGAUUGAAACCAUUGAUAUCCGACCUUAUGAAGAUAUUAUGCUAACAGAUUAAUAACGAAGCAUAUUACGAUUUUAUUGAACAUUUCGUACACUGAUGGGAAAAGUGUUAGAUUUUUGUGGUUAAGGUUCUGUCCCUCUUCCGUUCGGCUUAGUAAUGAACUUCCUUCCUCGCUGCUUGUCGAGCGCAAUGACGUCUUUCUUCAAACGAAAAUUGCGGAGAGUACUCGGCGGCAGGCAGCGGUGUGGAUGCGCCCCUGGCAUCGCUGACGUCCAUGUGCAACCGUAGACACUCAACAUGCGGGCCGUCGGCUCACCUCCUACAGGUGCAAUAAAAAACCUUGUAUUCUGUUCUGCGUUUAAGAAACAAUUUAUCACUUUAUAAAAUAGUGUUGGUGGGCCUUCAGAGACGAUAACAGUUUCCUUUUUUUUAUAUAAUUAUUUUGUUACUCUCUUUGGUUGCACAAUGGAGUGACCUAUUCACUAGGUGAAUAAUCUCCUUAAACAGUGAUAAAAAAAACAAUUUAAUUAAACCAGAUCUACAUUGGGCAGGCGUGAGCACAGGUCGAUGUUGCGACUGCACUGCUACCGUAUUAAUGUCAUUAUAGAAAGGCACUACUUUAUCGCUACAACAUUCUUUUUUCAAACGUGGAGUUGUAUUUAAUCUUGCUGUUAAGCGGGUUCCGUGGUGUAGUGGUUAUCACAUCUGCUUUACACGCAGAAGGCCGCCAGUUCGAUCCUGGCCGGAAUCAAUAUUUUUAUUAGCUCUGUCUAAAUUAUAUUUAUAAUCUAAUAAUAUCCAGACUAACACAAUUUACACGUUAUGUACACAUGAAAUAAUUUGUUACCUAAUUUUUUUAGUACUGACAGAUCGGACAGUCACGAUCUAUAAGUUUCCUAAUUCGAGAGAAGUGUUAUUGUUGAUAACCUUUUUUUAUUUAUUGCUUAGAAGGGUGGACGAGCUCACAGCCCACCUGGUGUUAAGUGGUUACUGGAGCCCUUAGACAUCCACAACGUAAAUGCGCCACCCACCUUGAGAUACAAGUUCUAAGGUCUCAAGUAUAGUUACAACAGCUGCCCCACCCUUCAAACCGAAACGCAUUACUGCUUCACGGCAGAAAUAGACAGGAUGGUGGUACCCACCCGCGCGGACUCACAAGAGGUCCUACCACCAGUAAUUAAGCAAAUUAUAAUUUUGCGGGUUUCAUUUUUAUAACACGAUGUUAUUCCUUCACCAUGGAAGUCAAUCGUGAACAUUUGUUGAGUACGUAUUUCAUUAGAAAAAUUGGUACCCGCCUGGGAUUCGAACACCGUUGCAUCGCUAUACACGAAUGCACCGGACGUCUUAUCCUUUAGGCCACCUAGCGUUAGAGCUGAAAGCGUAUAAUGCAAAGGUUAUUGGAUCUGAUGGAUCCGUAAGGACGUGUCUAGGGCGUCGACGAUGACUGGCUCCUGCGUGAUCAGGAUUCGGGGAGUAGUCAGCGGCGGCAACGAUAAGGCGAUUAUCAUGACGGCCAUUUGGCAAGGAGCUCUGAUGUAUUAUACCGGCACCAUACCACCAAGACUUUUAGAGGUCAGGUUACAUUUGGGACAUUACCUAAGUGCUAAGCCAGGGUUUAACCAAGAUGACGACCGUUUGCGAUUAUAAAAAUAAAUUAAUUUGUUAAUCGCAAGUGACAAAGCGGUUCGGAAUCCCUUCGUUGCUGUUUCUGUUCAGCCACACGAGGCAAACCUAGACGCGGCGGUCGCGCUGGAGAUCGUUCAGUUAUACUUUAGUUAUCUGUUAAAAAUGUAAACACUAUCAAAGCUGAAUAACUGAAUAUACAGUCUCAGUCAAAAAAGCGUCGGGAAUAGAUGAUUUUUUAUGUUUUUUUUGUUGUUUUUAGAUAUUUUUUCCUUAUUAAUGCACAAAACAAAUUACAACCGAAGAAAUUAUAAAUUUAAAUAUUUAAUAUAGCAAUCUGCAGUGCAAUUCAAAACAGGUGCAUACAGAAAAAUUAUAAAAACUGAAAAUAUGCCUAAAUACCUUGUGUGUAUAUAGGUACAUGUAUAUGCAUAUACACAUACGCUCGCAUACACACAACCGCACGCGCGCACACACUCAUACACAUAUGUAAGUUACUAUCUAAUUAAAGUAAAUCUAAUGUAUCAUUAGCUGGACAAUAUUAAUUAUUUGAGAAUAAAUUUAACUAAUUUACAAUAUUUAUACAAAGUAUUUUCAGAUAUAUCAAGAUUAGUGUUGUUACUUGCCAACUCAUUAUAAUGUCGUGCCAUUCUAACAAUGGGAUUAAAGUAUGAGAUGUUGUUUUUGUGAACUUCAAGUGCAAGAAGAUUAGUGCAAUGCGAUCUACACGCAGUUUAACUGGUAUUAAAAGAUAUUUGCGAAAUUAAGUCACUUGAGUUUAUUAAAAAAUGUAUAAUUUUGUACAAAUAAAGUAAAUCAAAGUAUUUACGACGAAUAGAUAAAGAUUCCGUUUUGAAUUGGGCUAGUCUAUGUUCAUAAUUAAGAUUAUUUCGACCUAGUUUCAAACGGUAAGCUAAUAUCCUGAGAAAUUUUUUCUGCACUCUUUUAUUGUCAUCUAUAUGAACUUUAUAAUACGGAGACCAUAUUGGUGUUGCGUAUUCCAAGAGACUUCUCACUAGUGAAAAAAAUAAGUAUAAUACCGAAUGAGGAUUUUUGAAGGCUUUGCUUGAUCUGAGAACGAAACCUAAAAGUUGAUUAGCUUUAAUAGUUAAUGUAUUGAUAAUGUGAACGGAAUAAAAGUUUGUCAUCAAAGAUAAUACCGAAAUCUUUAGCAACAACGGACCUGUUUAAGACACUAUAAUUAAUAAAAUAAUUAUCAUUGAUUAUCGUUUAUUUAUAAAUAAAAUAUCAAAAAAAUUGCUAUUAUUUAAAAAUAUAUGAUUAGAAUUACAUACACCAUUUAACUAAUGUAUCUAAGUUUUGCUGCAAAAGAUUGUCACAACUGUUUUCCAUUGUGGCGCGGGGUUUGAAUUGCGUCUGUUAUUUUAAUUAAAAACAGUAUGAUUUUUAAUUAUAUGUAAAGAAAACCCUAAAAACUCUUUAGUUUUAAGAAAGGAUUUUUCUUAGACGGAUUCACUCACCUGUCUGUCAUUCAGUGAAGAGAUAAGUACAGUUUUGCAUAAUAUAAUAAUAUUGUUGAAAAAAUUCAUUUAAAAAGAGAUUAAGAAGGGCUUUAAAUAUUGUUUUCUUAUUAUAUUAGAGAAACGCAAUUAAGUAUUUUAUUGUUAAUUCAUUCUGGAGUAUUCCAUAUAAUUAUAUCCAUAUAUAUUAUAUCUAGAUCUAUCUAUAUCAUCUAAUCUAAGUCUAUAAUUUUGCAUCACCCCUGGAAUGUUAUAUUUGGAGUUACAGAAAUGUUACAGAGAUUUUAUAAAAAACACGUACAUAUGAGUGGUACAAAGCGUUCAAAAGCGGUCCAUAUGUAAUGGAAGAAUUGCCUCACUCUGGCAGGCCAUCAACGUCUGCAACUGAAGUUAAAACAUCGCAAAAGUGAAAGAAACAGUGAUUGAAUAUCCUGAUUCAAGUUUGAAAGACAGCCGCCGAAUUGUCUGUGUCUCACCAGUCGAUCCGUACCAUUUUAAAUAAUCACUUGGCUAUGAACCAUGUUGUUGCUUAGUGCCGCCGGUUAGUCCCAAAAAGCCUAAAUUUGUCGCUAAAAACUCAUAAAUCACAUAAGAGUCGCUGCAGAAACGCUAGAACGUGUCAAUUCCGAUCCAACAUUCAUGAAGCGCAACGUUACUGUUGGGUGGUGACGAGGCGUGUGUGUACGAGAUUGACACGCUAGCUACUAAGGACAACAAGCUUCGGAGUGGCGCCUUCCAAACUGAACCGAAACCGAAAAAACCACACCAAGAUCGAUCAAAAGUCAAAGUCAUGUUGACCGUUUUCUUCGACUGUCGCGGAGUUGUGCACUCGAAAUUGUUGCCGGAAGAUCAAACGAUAAAUAAAGAAUAUUAAUUAAGGGUUAUGCGGCGAUUAAGAGAACAAAUUCGACGAAUAAGGCCAUCUGUGAAAAGAAAUCUCUUGGAUUUUUCACCACGAUAAUACGCCUUCACACAAUACCAUCAUUUGAACGAAUUCUUGCCAAAAAACUCAAGAAAUAGCAUCGAGCAACCACCUUAUUCACCAAAUAUGGCUCCAUCCGACUUCUUUCUUUUUCCUAAAUACAUUCAUUCAUUUAUUUAUUGUCAUUGAAGGUACAAUAUGUAAGAUAUUAUAUAUAAUAUAUAUAUAUAGGUAUAUAAGAUAUAUAAGUCAAUGGAGCUGGGUCGCAAAUUUGUUAAGCUUUUUGAUGUUAAAAUUACAAUAUGGACAAAUUCAACAACAUCACAGAGUUAAGACCUAGUGGUUUUUGUUGCUAUAUAAAUAAGUACCUAAGUACGAGGAGGGAUCAAAAAGUAGUGAGAACGACCUACCCCAUGGUAAGAAAAAAAAUACUGGCAGGCAUAGCUCGGAUACAUAUUUGUAAUAUUAAUAAAGUAAAAAAUCUUGGAUUCUC